UACGUAGGGGGCUAGCGUUGUCCGGAAUCAUUGGGCGUAAAGAGCGUGUAGGCGGCUCGGUAAGUCCGCUGUGAAAGUCCAGGGCUCAACCCUGGAAUGCCAGUGGAAACUGUUGAGCUAGAGUCCGGAAGAGGCGAGUGGAAUUCCUGGUGUAGCGGUGAAAUGCGCAGAUAUCAGGAGGAACACCAAUGGCGAAGGCAGCUCGCUGGGACGGUACUGACGCUGAGACGCGAAAGCGUGGGGAGCAAACAGG
rnacentral:rRNA from 1 species